rnacentral:rRNA from 1 species
CCAAUAGCGUAUAUUAAAGUUGUUGCAGUUAAAAAGCUCGUAGUUGAAUUUCGGGAUUAGUACGUUGGUCGUGCCUUCGGUACGUACUGGUGUUACUGGUUCCUACCUUCUGACGAACCAUCAUGUCAUUAAUUUGGUGUGGCGGGGAAUCAGGACUGUUACUUUGAAAAAAUUAGAGUGUUUAAAGCAGGCUCGCGCUUGAAUACAUUAGCAUGGAAUAAUGAAAUAGGACGUUGACCCUAUUUUGUUGGUUUCUAGGAUUGACGUAAUGAUUAAUAGGGAUAGUUGGGGGCAUUAGUAUUCAAUUGUCAGAGGUGAAAUUCUUGGAUUUAUUGAAGACUAACUACUGCGAAAGCAUUUGCCAAGGAUGUUUUCAUUAAUCAAGAACGAAAGUUAGGGGAUCGAAGACGAUCAGAUACCGUCGUAGUCUUAACCAUAAACUAUGCCGACUAGGGAUCGGAUGAUGUUAUUUUUAAUGACUCAUUCGGCGCCUUACG